CAGGGCAAGCGUGCCCUCAGGGUGGCACCCCAUGUCCCUUUGUGCCUGUCAGUCCAGAGCAAGGGACCCCAGAAUAAUUUGCCCAUUAUCCAAGAAUUAGGCUAAAAAUGUUGUGCAGCUGAGGGAAACCUGCGCCCAGGACCCGCUCUGGAGGCCACCGGGGAGCGGGGCCGCAGACUUGGAAGGAAGAGGCUGAGACCGUGGGCACAGGAGCCCGUGGGCACAGGAGCCCAUGGGCACAGGAGCCUGGAGGAGAAGGUCGGAGGGUCCCAGCCCCCUGUAACUGAGGACUAGAGGGGGAAGGGGCUCUCCCGGGGCAGGAAGGGAGGAGGGAGGACGUGGCUCCGGGUCUUUGGACGCCAAAGCCAGGCCUUGUCCCGGCAGAUGGCCUCUGAAGGCCAAGGCUGGCCCGGGAGGGCCUCUUCUUCGCCUGGACUCUGUGCUCAGCCUCUCCCUCAGCUGACCAGCAGCCACAACCACAUGAGCCGGACUCUCCAGAACCAACCACCGGCCCUGCCAUUAUAGGCUCCCCACCGACCCCGCUCCGAGCCUGGCCACUGGGAGGACCAAGGAGGGGCAUUGGAACGGAUGGGCAGCUCCAGGAUGGUGGAGAUGUUGGGGGAACAGCUUCCAGGGCUGAGGAGGAAGAGCAGUAGCGGGGUCAGUGCUGGCACACAGACCCUGCAAAGGGAGCGACCCCGAGGCAAUGGUCCAGACUGGGGGGGGGACAACUAACAGGGGAGCAGGAC
rnacentral:lncRNA from 1 species